rnacentral:piRNA from 1 species
AAUGUAGAUAUGGUCAUUUAAGGU